rnacentral:lncRNA from 1 species
UAAAUUAUAAGGCCUAUAUACCAAUGUCCAGAUUCAUUUAAAAGCAAAAAUAAAAAUUCUGCCAAGGCCAAGACUUGAACCCGGGCUCCUCAAACACUCCCAAACACACCCAAAUUACUUAACCACUGAAGCAAACAAGUAGUUGUGUCAAAACAUGCAAAAAUUAAAAACUUAAAUUUUUGGGGCGUUACAACCAUAAUGCUACUUAGUAAACAAAAACACACGAUUUAAUUGAAAACAAAGUUUGAAGGAUGGAGAGAUAGAAACAUAGAGAAGAAGAGGAAACAUAAAAUGUUAAACAAAGGGAAUUUUUGGAAACAGAAAAAAAACAAGAUAAAAUAAAAUAAAAAUUAAAACAAUUUGAUAUUCCCAACUCCCCACUAACAUCUCAAUCUCAACUACCUCAAAAUUUUAGCUCUACCAAAACUCUAUUAGACAACCGAGAAAAAAUUAACACCCAC